rnacentral:rRNA from 1 species
UACGAAGGGGGCUAGCGUUGCUCGGAAUCACUGGGCGUAAAGAGCGUGUAGGCGGCCGCACAGGUCCGUUGUGAAAACUGGAGGCUCAACCUUCAGACGUCGAUGGAAACCGUGCGGCUAGAGUCCGGAAGAGGAGAGUGGAAUUCCUGGUGUAGCGGUGAAAUGCGCAGAUAUCAGGAAGAACACCCGUGGCGAAGGCGGCUCUCUGGGACGGUACUGACGCUGAGACGCGAAAGCGUGGGGAGCGAACAGG